rnacentral:rRNA from 1 species
AUGGGCGAAAGCCUGAUCCAGCCAUGCCGCGUGUGUGAAGAAGGUCUUCGGAUUGUAAAGCACUUUAAGUUGGGAGGAAGGGUUGUAGAUUAAUACUCUGCAAUUUUGACGUUACCGACAGAAUAAGCACCGGCUAACUCUGUGCCAGCAGCCGCGGUAAUACAGAGGGUGCAAGCGUUAAUCGGAAUUACUGGGCGUAAAGCGCGCGUAGGUGGUUUGUUAAGUUGGAUGUGAAAUCCCCGGGCUCAACCUGGGAACUGCAUUCAAAACUGACUGACUAGAGUAUGGUAGAGGGUGGUGGAAUUUCCUGUGUAGCGGUGAAAUGCGUAGAUAUAGGAAGGAACACCAGUGGCGAAGGCGACCACCUGGACUAAUACUGACACUGAGGUGCGANAGCGUGGGGAGCAAACAGGAUUAGAUACCCUGGUAGUCCACGCCGUAAACGAUGUCAACUAGCCGUUGGAAGCCUUGAGCUUUUAGUGGCGCAGCUAACGCAUNAAGUUGACCGCCUGGGGAGUACGGCCGCAA